rnacentral:rRNA from 1 species
AGUGAACGCUGGCGGUAGGCCUAACACAUGCAAGUCGAACGGCAGCACAGUAAGAGCUUGCUCUUACGGGUGGCGAGUGGCGGACGGGUGAGGAAUACAUCGGAAUCUACUUUUUCGUGGGGGAUAACGUAGGGAAACUUACGCUAAUACCGCAUACGACCUACGGGUGAAAGCAGGGGAUCUUCGGACCUUGCGCGAUUGAAUGAGCCGAUGUCGGAUUAGCUAGUUGGCGGGGUAAAGGCCCACCAAGGCGACGAUCCGUAGCUGGUCUGAGAGGAUGAUCAGCCACACUGGAACUGAGACACGGUCCAGACUCCUACGGGAGGCAGCAGUGGGGAAUAUUGGACAAUGGGCGCAAGCCUGAUCCAGCCAUACCGCGUGGGUGAAGAAGGCCUUCGGGUUGUAAAGCCCUUUUGUUGGGAAAGAAAAGCAGCAGGUUAAUACCCCGCUGUCCUGACGGUACCCAAAGAAUAAGCACCGGCUAACUUC